GAUGUGGCACAAAAUGUUAUCAUUUCAUGCAUUUCUAACAAAUAUUCAAAACUUGAUCAUAAGUUUGUUAGAACUGGGAAAAUCUUCUGCCCUCCCACCCCUCAAGGGUGUUGUCUACCCACUCGAGGCUGUGCUGUCAGUUUUAAUUUAUGGUCAUUUCUUAUUGUGAUAAACAAAGUCUCGAGUUUCAAAGUUUCAAAUAAUAGUUUAUUAUAUGGUAAAAGCAAGCAGCCGCCUGGGUGACAGAAAUGGGACCAGUUUCCCAAAUCUGCACACCCCUACUACAGGGUACAUUUAGUAUUUAUCUUAGCUACUUCAUGCAUAUUAAUUAUAUCAUAUACAUAUACAUUCUACAGGUUUUUGCUAAGUAUCUAAUAUAUGAGUUUUCUUAAAGCUAAAGCUGAAAGGGUUGUCUCUACAACCAGUCAUAAUUCAUGCAUUCUUGGACGAACACACGCCUAAAGAUUUAAGGAAAGUGUCUUUGUGAGGAGCAAGGGGUGCUGAUGAUCGCAGGAGAGCUGAGGCGGAGGGACAGGAACAGACGCAGAAUUUCUCUGCUGAGAUUUUUUUCCAGUGGGAUCCACGGUGGAUAUUUUUAAAUGCCCGGCUUAUUCCGUGACCUGUUAAAAUCAAGUUGAUGUGCGUGUGCUCCACUCAGCGGAGAACUCGCCGGAGAUGGAGCGAUUCCUCUGCACUCUGGAAGAAGAGACAAGAGCACGCUCUGGAAGCCUUUAUGAGGAGGCUUUUAGAAGCCAUUUUGAAAAGCCAGUCGUUAUCCUUCGGUGUUUUGGAAGUCUGGACUGGACCUCCCGGGUGAUAUUAGGAUUGACACCACACCCGUUUUAUGGCGGGCGGCUGCACAGCCUCCAUCCCGCCGCGUGACACGGGAACACAUGUCCCUGUUGGCAGGGAGGGGGGAAUGAGCCAUAUCCACUGGUCACACCCCAGGUGAGCCACACCCCAGGUGAGCCACACCCCAGGUGAGCCACACCUGCACUUUGAGGCUUGAUUUGAGCUGUUUUACUGCUGCCUAUCAACCUUGUUCCUCUCUCAGCUGCACCAGCUGGACUGGGGUGUGUGAGGCUGCGGUGCCCUGCAGGUGCCCUGGAGCUGCAGCAUCCUCCUUGGAGGCACACACUAGAGCACCUCCAGGUGCUGGUGGUGACACAGGAAGCACAGGAAGACGCAGUUUCCCUCAGCCAGAAGCACCAACAUCAGAGAUCAUGGGGAUUCUUAAUCAACUGAACCAAUCCUAUGAAUUUUUCACCAGUUCUGAGGCUCUGGACCACCCUAUCCAAUACUACAGGUCUCAGUUCUCUCCUCCGUGCAUCACUCUCCUGCUCACAGUGAGUUUUAAGGGAAGCCAGGUGUGACCCCGGGUCACACAGCUUGGGAAGGGGUUUGCAGAGCAUGUUCUAGAGUGACAUUUGGUCCCCAGGGAGGCCUGUAAGUUGCCAAACUCCUCCUGGGUGAUGGAGUUCCCUGCACUACGUCAGCCAACACCCCCAGAUGUUCUGAGCAGAUGCAAAACAUGCUCUAAUGGACACGAGGAACUGUUCUCUGAGUUACCAACUGCGAGUGCAAGGAUGGGUUUCACUUCUGCUCUGGGAACAAGUGGGACUUGCCAGUAGUGCAAAAUGUGUCACUGUGAUGACCCUCUGUGCAAUAAUUCUCUAAGGAGUGGCAGUUCCAUGGAAACACUGUGUUCUGCUCUGCCCUGAGCUGCCCCAGAGAGCUGAGGGCACCUGGGGACAUGGCUCAGUGGUGGCCUUGGCCAUGAGUGAACCUUUGGACUGGGUGAUAUCAGAGGGCUUUUCCAACCUAACCCAUCCUGUGAUUCCGUGAUUCCAUGACUCUCUCUGAGGACACGCUGCUGUUUCCCACAUGGCUGUGCACAGAUGUUGCCAGGUGUCCCCUGCCAGCCGGGCCCUGGCACCUCAGCUCACCAGCAAUGAGAGAAGGUGACAGAAUAAAAGUAGAGGGAAACCAGUUGGUCAGUGCUUUCUGUUCACCUCCUCUUGGCUAACUGCUAGGCACAGUAAAUAGGGAAUUAGGGGCUUCUCAAUAUGUAUAUUUUUUUAUGUAAGUGCUUGGGGAUUUCUGGUCCUGGGCUUGUCUGGGAACAGUUUUUCUAGGCUGACUGAUGCAGUCAUGAGCAAUAACCUAAACUGCAGUUUUUGCUUGAAGUUUUUACAAUAUCACCUUCUGCUGGAGGAAGUUAAGAAGGGAAGGGAACUGUGACGUAUGGUUACAUUGUGGUGUUCAUGUGUGUCCACACAGGACAUUGGAACAGCACCUGUAGUGCCAGAUUGCUGUUGGCUGAAGAAGAAAACACCUGCUUCCUCCUUUUCCAGAGGUGGUUGGUAGUCGGUGUUCCUCCUACCUGGGCCGUGUCCUCAAGCACAACUAUUCUUUUUGUACGUAAAUCUUAAUGUUUCCUUGAAGUGAAACACUUGGUGCUGCUGUUCCUUGAACAUUCCCCUGACUUAUUCAAGGAAUAACAUUUGUUUAUCCCUGAGAAGAUACUAACAGAAUGCUUAGAGG